rnacentral:rRNA from 1 species
AUUGAACGCUGGCGGCAUGCUUAACACAUGCAAGUCACGGGGGGCCCGCAAGGGUCAACCGGCGAACGGGUGCGUAACACGUGAGCGACCUGCCCAAUUGCGGGGGAUAGCCGGCCCAACGGCCGGGUAAUACCGCAUACGCUUCCCUGGGGGCAUUCUUGGGGAAGGAAACCUACGGGGCGAUUGGAGGGGCUCGCGGCCUAUCAGCUAGUUGGCGAGGUAACGGCUCACCAAGGCGAUGACGGGUAGCUGGUCUGAGAGGAUGGCCAGCCACAUUGGGACUGAGAGACGGCCCAGACUCCUACGGGAGGCAGCAGUGGGGAAUCUUGCGCAAUGGCCGAAAGGCUGACGCAGCGACGCCGCGUGGAGGAUGACGCCUCGUCGUA